GUGCCAGCAGCCGCGGUAAUACGAAGGGGGCUAGCGUUGUUCGGAAUUACUGGGCGUAAAGGGCGCGUAGGCGGUUUUGCAAGUAGAGUGUGAAAGCCCAGGGCUCAACCCUGGAACUGCAUUCUAGACUGCAUUACUUGAAUUCGGUAGAGGUGAGUGGAAUUCCCAGUGUAGAGGUGAAAUUCGUAGAUAUUGGGAAGAACACCGGUGGCGAAGGCGGCUCACUGGACCGACAUUGACGCUGAGGCGCGAAAGCGUGGGGAGCAAACAGGAUUAGAUACCCCUGUAGUCC
rnacentral:rRNA from 1 species